rnacentral:tRNA from 1 species
UAAAUUUUAAGUUAAAAAAACUAUGGGCCUUCAAAGCCCAAAAUGGUUCUCCAAAUUUAG